CCCUCUCCCUUCUCCCUUUAGGCAUCCCAUACGUCCCAAUCCUUUGGGACAUCCCAAAGCCCCACACGCCCAAGGUGUUAGGCGUCCCCUCUUGGCUGGUUGCUAGUAUUUUGUAGCAGCACAUAGUAAGGAGAAAAGUCUAGAAAAGAGGAGAAGAAGAAGAUUAAGAAGAAAGAUCAAGCAUUGAUCAUGAUCCAGGCUUUGCUCGGA
rnacentral:lncRNA from 1 species